AAAUCUCAACCUCCUUGGUUUCUUCUGAACACCAAAGGAGGCUUGGACUUUGGAGGCCUUUGCUGGUACCUCUCUAUUUUGAAGGCCAGCUCCUCUUAAAUGAAUUAGCGGGGUCCUCUUUGCCAGUCCUCGACGUGUGAUAAGAUGUUUCCAUGUCUUGGCUUCUGGCUCUGUUGCUUUUGGGACCCGCUUCUAACCGUCUCAACCUUGCAUAGAGACAACGUUCGAGCAUGUUCUCCCUUCUCGGGAAACACUCUCGACCCCACGAAC
rnacentral:misc_RNA from 1 species